AAAUUUAGGCCAAUCUCAAGUGCAGAAAAAAAGGUAUUUUUUUCCUCUCUUUCAGGUAAUCAUGUCUUUUAUUAACACCUGUUUCCCUUUUACGGUCUGAGUCAAACGGAUGCAGUUGAGGGCCUUGUUAACCCUGUAGGACAAACAGAAGGCAAGCAUUUUCUAUUAUGACUUUCAUGGAUGGUCACAGGUGUGAAGAUGAGACGUGAAGGUCCUGCCUAUGUGUGAUUACCAGACAAGCCAUUUCUUCUUACAAAGGGUUUCUCUGUGUAUCACUGGCCAUCCUGGAACUCGAUCUGUAGACCAGGCUGACCUCGAAUUCACAGAGAUCCACCUGCUUCUGCCUCCUGAGUGCUGGGAUUGAAGACGUGUGCUACCACCACCUCCCAGCUUGCGAUGAACUCUUGAGAAUCUACCUCCCUUCCACUUGCAGCCCAGGGAUGUCUGACCAUUCAGUGAUUCCAGAAGCCUCUGGAUGCAGGUGUCCAUGACACAGUUCUGUUGGCUGUUAUCCUCCAGACUGGAAGACAGUGUUCCUAGAGAUGAGAAGCCUGCCCCUGUACCAGGGAAUGACUACUCUCAGUGCCGUGACCAUUGAGGACAAGCCCCUGGCAGUGACCAUUUACUCCACAAACUCCCUUUAUGCUUUAAAAAAAAAAAGUACUGUUUUCAUGUCUGUAAUUGGCAUGUAAAGACAUGGUAUGUAAAGACAGAUGCAUUCAAGUUUGCAACGCACCCUGACUAUGUUCACUCAAUAUCUCCUCUCCUUCCUGCUCCCCACUCCCAGUCUCCCUUCUACCUUUAUGUGUUUCAUAGAUUUGUGAUCUCUACACUCAAAAAGCACAGUCUAAAGGUUUUUGGUUUAAUCUAUCGCUAACUAUUCUUUCUCUUUGGCUUCUUGACAUCUUUCCAUGAUCGUAUUAUGGACAAGACCUUGACUCAGAGAGAGCGGAUAGGCUGGGCUUAGAGAUGGGCAAGCUCCUCUUUGAGCACACUGCCACAGAAUUGAACCCCUGGGGUGGGGGCUGACUGGGUUGGGGUGCUCCUAAAGGUAGCUUCUGGCACAGCUGCUGUAGGAAGUGGGAUCUGGUGUAUCGAGGAAGAAAGGCUAGUGCACUUGUCUAGAGUGGGAUGAUGGGCACCUGGAAGGCGUCUGGGCUCUCUGUCCCUGGCCAGCUGGGUGACCUGGAAGCACAAUUCCUGCCUCUGGAUGUAUGGAUUUAGGCCACUACAGGUUAGGGUUAGCCCUUAUGGUUUGGAUAUGUUUUAUCCUGUCUGACUCACUCUGGAUACUGAUGGCCAUUGAGGGGAUGUUAGGGUGGGGCUUUAAGAAAAGAUUAGUGGCUAAGGGGAAUGGCUGUCUUUCUUGCUGGAGUGGGCUUGUUCACACAAGAGCAGGUUCCUAUAAGCAAGGUUGCCUCUUGUGUGCUGCCCUUUGACCCGUGCUGCCCUUUGACCUGUGUUGACUUGCCCUGCUGCCCUUUGACCUGUGUUGACUUGCCCUGCUGCUUUCCACUUGACUUGCUGUGUGGGCCCUUCCCGGAAGCUGCUCUCGUGCUCUUGGACUCCCUAGGCUUCAGAAUCAUGAGCCAAAAUAAAUGUCUUCCAUUUAUGUUA